CCUCCUAAUUGAAAGGAAUGCUGUUCUUUCCCAUCAUUCAGGACAACUAAAAGAGUGCUACUUUUCCUUGAUAGAUGUUAUUCUCAUGAACCUUUGCUUUUUGUCUGUUGAAAUCAUAAUCCGGUUUGUAUUUUCACUUCAUUAAGUCUUCCCAUUUGUGAUGUUUGCCAUUCCGCUGCACACAAUGUGUAAAGAUUAUCCUUUCGAUACCUACAUUUUUGGAUGUAUUCCCUUCUACCUUUCUCUAUCUCACAAUCAGGUUAAUGCUGGAGCAGGGGCUUGGUGCCCAGUGUCACAGAGGGAGAGGGACUGCUGCCCCCCCUGCUCUCUAAGCCUGAGACUGUGGCCCUGUAGUCAGCAACAGUUCAGCAUGAGGAAGAGGCAGCGAGGUCAACAGUGAACGAAAACGCCAGCAAUUGCAGCAGAAAUACAGUAUCACAGUAUCAGGAGGAUAUGUAUUCAAUAAACAUCAUCUUUAGUAUAGCUUCAUAUUUGUUUUCCUUGGGUCGCUGCAGUUUCCCGCUAAGCCUUCCUGGAAGUCUCUUUCCCUACCCUUCACACGCUUGCGGCAUCCCUCUGUUCUCCUCCUCUUCCUCCACUUCCUUGCUCCGAGCGCCAGUUUUGUCUGUCUUCCGAUUUGUGUCACUUCCAGUGACUGCGCUUAGCCGUUUUUCGUUUCCUUAGAAUCUUUUCCCAUUUUCUCUUAUCACAAAAAAUAACAAUAUGUUUAUGUUUUGGAAAGGCAGCAGUUUCUCUUUACCUAGCCUUUGUUUUUCUUUAUAAGCAAGUGAAACUCGGAGUGUUUAUAAAAGUCCUUUAAUUAACAGAUUAUACAAAGUGAUGUUUCUGUCGUGAAUGAUGCCCACUUAGAUUAUGAUUUUGACAUGACAGCUCACCAGAGGACAUUUUCAGUAUCUGCAUAGUCCUUAUCAUAACGUGUUUGCCACAGACAUUUUAUAGUGUAGCUUUUGGUAGUUAAUUCCUUUGAUUUUGCAGGAUUUUAAAAUGCAAAAGAAAAGGGGCAAUAUGUUAUACCAUGUAACACCUUCUAAACUUUAACCUUCCUUAAAACUUUGACAUUUAUUGUGUCUGUAUAAUUGUGGCAGGCAGAAUUAUGCAUUCAAUGAUGUAAAUUGAAUCCACAAAAUAUUUAGCUAAGUUCUGAUCUCUGUUUGAAAAAUAAACAGUGCUGUACUUGGAUGUUCAUAUAAAUCCUUUACACUAAUAAACUCUCCAUAAAUAAAAUUAAAAUAAAUUUGUUAAAUAUAGUGAUACACUGG
ensembl:lincRNA